UUGAACCUUAAAUUGAGAGUCUCACGGUUCCGGUUGGAUCUUCAGUCCAGUUUCAAAAAUAUUAAGUGGGAGUAUUUAGGGAAGUUCAGGCGAGCAAUUUCGGUUGGGAAAAGAGUAAUUUUCCCGUCUAAAGUUUGGUAGAACCCUAAUCAGCUUCGAUGCCCCCAAAUUGUGUUGUCGAAAAGCUAUUUUUCAUAUUCGUUGCUUUUGGGUUUUGAUCGAGUAAUUUUUUUAUUUUUUUUUGGUGUUUUAAUUGAAGAAUGAAUUGAAUUUGGUUGAGUUGAUGAUGAAAGUAUAAUUGGCAUGAGCUAUAACAACAAUCUGCGCACCGUGAAAUUGUCACGGGUUGUUACAGCUUUGAAGAAUGUGCCUAUAUGCUAAUCUGAAGCAUCUUCAUCUUUGUCUUUCAUUCUUUUUUCUUUAAUUGUUUUGUAUCUCUGUGCUUUAUUUUUACGUAUUUGAUUUGAUACAAUCUCAUUAUUAUUUGAAUUUUGAAAUACUUUAGUAUAUUUAGGACAAAUAGCUUAUGUUAGAGAAACAUAUAUAUAUUGAAACAGUAUGAAAUUAAAAUUAGUCCAAUUGUUAUUUGAGAGUAAAAAAGUAACCAUCAAUUUAGUUCUCUAAAAUUUAGCUUAGUCUCUAAAGUAUGUAGCAUCCAUCAAUUUAGUGCAUACAAUUACAAAUAUUAGGAACUAAAUUGAUAGAUUUUCAUAUGCUUUAGGGAUUAAAUUGGCGGGUUUCGUAUAAAUUAAGCACUUCUUUGAUGGUUUAUUCAAAUAAUGCUAGUUGAUCACAUACGUUGAUUGUAAAACUAAUGAAUAUCUCUCCUAGAGGUAGAACUUCUCUGGUUUGGAGAGCUAUAACAAUAGUUUGACAGUAGUUGGAUGAUAAUUUUCACUUUCUUUUGAAAGCUUGGUUCUAUGCAUUUUCUAAUAGGUAUUUUUGAUUCAAUUCUCGUGCUGCAUGCUGUGGUUUUCUGGUCCAUGUGGAAUUGAUGUAUCCUCUUCUUAUCUGUGGGUGUUAUUGUUUUUGUUUCUGUUAUUUUUGUAUUGCUGUUUACAUUCCUGUAUUUUUAUCCUCUAUUGGUAUUCAUUGUAGUGAUGGGUCUUGUUUAAUCUUCCAUAGAAGUCCUUUCUGUUUUAGCAAGAAGAAAAAAGAUAUUUAUUGGCCUAAAUGGGCACAGAAUCCGCUUCUAGAAGGUCUCCUACUCAUACGAGUUGAUAUCCUCUUCAUUUAAUGGAAACUUUCAUUUGGAGAGACAUAGACAAAUGAAAUUAAAUGAUAAUUUAUUUCAAUGUCUAUCUCUCUCUAAAUGGAAGUGUCCAUUAAACGGAGAGGAUCUCAACUUGCUCGUAUGCCUCAAAGGGAGUUUGGAAAAAUUGGUAACUAGAUAACUUGCCCAGCAUUAAACCUAGAGCUAUUGCUCAUGUUGAUUCCCAGACUGAUCCUUAACCAAUGUUGGCUUAUUCUUCAUUAAGUCAGACUAUAAAUUCCUUCAUUAUAAGAAAGCAAGGGUUGGCGAUUCAUAUUCUUUUUUUUUUUUUAAGAAACGGCGAUUCAUAUUCUAUUUAGAAUUUCAAAGGGCUUCCUUAAAGGAUUCAGUCAUGACUAACUUCUUACCCAUGAAGAUUGGGAUUAGAAGGGGCAUGACAACUAAUGCUGAUUGCCAGAGAUGUAAUGACCAGAUGAAUGAUUGGAACGGUCCACCGCUGCUUUGGAGUCAAGCUCAAAUGUAACAUGGUGCAAGUUCAUCUCUCCAAUUCAAUGAAUGGGGUGAAGUAAUCCAUAAGCCUUGCCUUCAUUACUUGACAAAGUGGUGUAUCUUAUGUGUAUCAUUUUUUACUCUAUCUACCAGGGAACCAAACACACAAAUAGUAAAACUAGUCACUAGCUUCCUCGUGAUCAUUAUUAUGAACUACUACUCCGGUGUUAUUAUAAGAGAAAAUGUACUUUUUAGAUUUAUUCAAUAAAUGUUGUCUAUAGUCUUAUAUUAGGAACUAUAUACAAUAUUUAUUGAAUUAACCUAAAAAAUAAAUUUUCGCUUAUAAAUAAGAUCGGAAGGAGUACAUAUGAAAGUGGCUCACUAGUCUUUUUGUUCAACAGUUGUUCAAUGGGAUCAUUUGAUUGAUCGUUGAAGUGACAAGAGUAUAUUUGCCUAGUGCUGAACUUGGAAUAGAUAGAUUGAAUUAAUUUACCAAUAUUCCAUAAAUUCCUUUAUACUAAAACUACAGAAUCCAUUUGAACCAUAAAUCAUGUUUGGUUCAUAGGUUUGAAAGGUAGCUAAUCAUGCACCCCUUUGACUGUUAGUUUUUUAUUCAUUCUUAUUUCACUCAACAAGAAAAUUUGUUGAAUGUUACAUUACAUCCCAUAUAUAUGAGUCAAUUUUGUAGCUUUGUGCUCUCAUCAUACCACACUACCAGUCACAUAUAAAGUAGCAAAACAAAUAAAUUUUAUACCCUUUGGCCUCAUAAUUCAUUCUGCUUAAGCUGAACCUUAUUCUCCCCAGUUCCCUUGCCGUGGUGUAAUUUGGUGCUGCAAAGAUAGCCAAUUGACCAUAUGGGAUCUGGUGGACCAGGAGGGCCUGGUGGACCUGGUUGGGGCCCUGGCCCAGGUGGGCCUGGUGGACCUGGUUGGGGUCCUGGACCUGGAGGACCUGGUUGGGGUCCACCUGGACCUGGGGGCUUUUUUGGUGGAUUUGCUAAUGGUUUAUGCAGCCUCUUAUCUUCUUGCCUCUCCUGCUUAUGCUGUUGCUGGUUGCUACAAGAUUGCUUCGGUGGUCCACCACGAGGCCCAGGCCCUUUCUAGUACCAGGAUUGUCAUUUAUUUACUUGUGUUUUUAAGUUUGCUGUCUGCACUGAACUGCUACUACUAAUUAAGCUGGAUCAGUAAAGUUGAAGUUUCACUACACGCUGCCUAACUAGUCAUGUCCAUUGUUCAAUUUUAAUGUUGUGUGGUGACCAAAAAUUAGAUUAAAUAAAAUAAAUUGGUGGUUGUGUUACCUAACUUUCAUUCUAGCUUACCAUUUCUAUUUAAUUAUUA